GACACCUGCUAAAGAAGGAUUGAGUGAUACAGUCUAUCAACCUUUGACACUACAAUUUCCAAAAAGGAAGAGGAUAUCCGAGUGCUGGUUUUAGGAUGCAGUAACCCUAUCUCAAGACAGGCAAGACCCCCAAGAUAGUUAUUUGACAUCACUGAAACCUAUAUGAUUGUGAUCCCCGCUUUUAAAAAACAAACAAAAAACGCAGACAAUCUAGACCUACGCAGAGGUGAGGAGCAUUUUAAUUUAGGAAACAAUUAACCGUCUCAGGCUUUGCUUCCAGAAGAACGGGUUUCUGAUCGCACAAACGGGGGAUGAUCAUUUAUAAUGAUGAUGUUCGAUACCCAG